rnacentral:lncRNA from 1 species
CUAAUGCUUUUUGUCGUAGUGAGUGGAGUGGGGAGUUCAGCAUGGCCCCUGAAUUGCCUGCCACCUGCAGUGUCACUGGAGGAAGUGGAGCAGGAGAAACGGCCACGGAUCCUUCCGGAGGAGCUUUUACCUCACCAAAGCUUUAUGAGGCUGAAGGCAGGCAAUUUAUCCUCUCAUCUGACCAGGUUUUUGUGCAAGGAAGAAAGUUCCCAUUGUCUGCCAGACCCUGCUCUUGCUAAUGGGAGGAACUCUAAUUGAGCUGUCAGGAGAACCUUUUGUGGAAGGAAUGAACUCACCCCUCAUUCAAGGUUGUGCCGUUAGGAAGCCGUGAUGCCAGGACAGAACUCAGCCCUGCCUGCCCCUGUCCUUCUCAUCCAUCCUGCUGUGUCUUUCUCACAUUCAAGGGCCUUACAACCAAUGGUAAGUGCAAUUAUUAUGCCCUCUUAGCCUACAGAGAGCUGCCCACAGGGUGCCCUAGGAAGCCCAGGUAG